UAUUCAUUUAUUUAUUUAUUUAUUUUUUUGCUGUAAGAUGGAACUUCGAAUAGCGAAUGUGGGCAGCUAUAACAAAGUUGUCUGUGUUGAGAAUUCUGCAUGCUUUCAUCCCUGCGUGUCUCUUAUUGAAACCAUGUGGUCUUGAGCCUACCUCUUUUCUCUCACUAACGCUUCCGCACCUCCACGCUCACUCCCCACACCCGUGAGGCAAGCAUAGUGCAGCAGGACAGCAGCACUAAGGCGAGGCACUGACGGUGGACGGAAGUCAGUGCUCCCGCGCUCCCACUGAACCACGGACGCCUCCAUUGCAACAUUCACCCCCCAACGGCAGUUUUCCCGCGGGCGUGGAGCAGCUGUUUCCGUAAAGAUGGGCGGGCUGGAGUGUGUGACAGGGGGAAUAAAGACUCUACUGGGGGCAAUAAUAGUGAUCGCAGCGCUGCCUGUGAUGGUGCCAGUGCUUAUAGUGCUGUGGCUGUGGCGUUGUUUGGCUCUGCUGGUCGUGCUUAUCAAACACAGAAAAAUAGUGCACGUGGCUUCAGGCAUCGAAGCACUCUUUGCUCUGGAUUCAGCAGGUGCAAGGGCAGUGAUCAGUGGGGUGUUGGUGGUGCGAGGUCGUGUGGAAAUUGCUACUGCAAGAAAACGACUACAGGAGCAUGUUCUGAAUGCUCGGGAUUCCAAGGGCCGCCUAUUACAUCCAAAAUUUAGACAGAUGGUGGGGAAACGGUGCGGAGUUGUCGUCUGGAUGUGGGAGGAUAAUUUUCAAGUCACUAGUCACGUAAGAGAGAUGCAACGGGAACUGAGAGACGAGAUUGACCUCCUGGAAGAGAUAACCUCUCGCAAUAAACUCCCCUUCGUGCGAGGCCACUCCGGUUGGGAACUGCUCGUGGCUUCUAUGGCCAGCUACGGGAAGCAGCACGAGCCCCACACUGCAGUCUUGGUGCGUCUCCACCAUUCGCUUGGUGACGGUCGAUCCUUCAUUACCUUGCUGCUGUCUGCCCUGCUCGACAGUCCUCUUGAAAAGCCACAGACACUCCCUAUAGCCCGCCAUCACCAAGACAGUCGCUUAGCUCGUCUGGGCCGCCUCCUAUGGGCAGUCUCGAAUACGCCGUGGGUGAUGCGUCGCGUGCUGAGGCGGGGCGAACCGUCACCUCUACAUGGGUGCCGGUUAGAGGGUCGAAAGAUAUUAGCGUGGUCGUCCCCUAUGUCGCUGGCAGCCCUCAAAGAAGGCCGUAGUCUGGCUGGGGUGACUGUCAACGACCUGUUACUGGCAGGCUUAGCUCAAGCCCUCCACAGAUACUUGAAAACUAAGGGAGACGCAAUGCCACAGCGAGUGGUGACGGUGCUGCCCGUGGAUGUCACCCCGCCCACUGACACCCUCGCAGUCACUAACAAUCUGUCCCUCUGCACAUUUUCUCUUCCCACUGGCCCGAUGGCACUUUUGGCGAGACUCGAGGCAAUUCAUCGCCGGCUGGAGAGACUGAAGGAAUCUCCGGACAUCAUCGUCAAUUACGUGGUACUAGACAUGUUCACCAACUUGCUGCCUGGACCCCUAGCCCGCCGUGCCCUCAACACCCAUGGAGUCACCCUGGUGGCUUCUAAUCUCCCUGGGCCUCAGGAGACAAUACACAUGUUCGGGGGAGUCGUGGACGACAUCAUGUUCUGGAUUCCUAACAAGAGCCGAACAGGGAUUGGCGUGUCCAUGCUGAGCUAUCGAGGACAGGUGCGCCUAGGCCUCAACGUGGACACCGCACUCGUGAAUUCUGAAGAGGUUGCUCAGCAGUUACUGGAGGACACUAUUGUUCAGACAAGGUCGCUGUUGAAGGAACUUGGAGCAGUCGAGAUCGAACCCGAGGCCAUGCUCUCAGACACUGUCUCAGCUGUCUCAGAGACCGAGCUGCUGCUGGGAGAGGGAAAGCAGCUCCCUCUCCGGCCAAACCAGCCGCCUCGAGUUCGCCCCGCCACCCUCACACAUAAAAACUGACUUACAUCGGCAAGAGUCGACCACUGUCAUAGAAGGUGGUUGUGCUUUGCAAUUGUGUAUUUUGUGGUGAAAUAUGCCUCGUAGUUGUGUGAAUAAAGUAGACAACUUCUGCUACACUUGUGGUGAGGUGACCUUUUCAUCACAGAAGCACAGUGCUUUGGUUAGAAAGGCAUACUAUGUUUUGGAUGCAAGAUUGGUGACCAGGAUAAGAACUGGGUUCCUCAUGUAUGCUGUAACACUUGUGCUACUAAUCUUCGCCAAUGGUUAAACAGGGAGAGGAAAAGAAUGCCCUUUGCUGUGCCGAUGACCUGGCGAAAGCCAAGAGAUCAUACCAACAAUUAUUAUUUCUGCACGGCAUCUCCAGUACAAAAGGGUUUGUCAAAGAAGAAAAACAGUUCUUUAAAUAUCCAGACACUCCAUCAGCUAUUCUCCCACAUGAAGGUCUACCUGUUCCUGGUGCACUAACUUCGGUAUCAUUCUAGUCUGAUGAGGAAAGUGGUGAGGAGGAAGAAGAGAAGGAUGACAGCGUUGGACUGCAGAGUGACCUAAAUUUUGAUGAAGCAAAAACACACUCCUCUAGGCCACAUCUCAUAAUACAAAGGGAACGCCAAGGGAUCUACAACUACCCAAGAAUAAAGCAGAGCUGCUAGGCUUUCGUCUUCAAUAGUGGAACCUCCUAGCAGAUGAUGUGAAAAUUUAAAAAUUCGGUGACCGUCAGCAACAGUUCAAUGAUUUCUUUGUAAAGUAAGGUGAUUUAGUGGCUUGCAACAAAAUUAAUGGUGUGAUGGAAGCAUUUGGCAUCGAAUAUGAACCCAAGCACUGGAGACUGUUCAUAAGUUCAUCAAAAACUAGUCUAAAAGGUGUCUUACUGCAUAAUGGCAAUAAUAAGCCGUCAGUUCUUGUGGGCUAUGCACCACAUAUGAAAGAAACUUAUGAGAAUAUAAAACAUAUGCUGCAAAGCAUAAAAUAUGGUGAACAUCAGUGGGAGAUCUGUGGUGAUUUAAAGGUUGUUGGUCUUGUGAUGGGCUUGCAGGGUGGAUACACUAAGUAUUGUUGCUUUUUUAUGUGAAUGGGACAGCCGUGCAAGAGGUUCCCCCUAUAUCAGGAAAGACUGGCCACCUCAUCAAUCAUUGGAGUCUGGAAUGAAAAAUGUUCAACAUCCACCUGUCGCUGAAUCAAGCAAAAUUUUGUUACCACCUCUACGCAUAAAACUGGGGCUCAUGAAGAACUUUGUAAAAGCUAUGGGCAAAUUCAGUAAGGAAACUAGUAUUUAAAAACAAAAUUCAUCUCACUGAGCGACGUUAAGUUAAAAGAGGGAGUCUAUAUCGGUCCUCAUAUUCGCGACCUUAAAGAUGGCGACUUUGAAUGAGUGGGAGAAAGAUGCUUGGGAAGCAUUCAAGUUUGUGGCAAAGGGAUUUCUCGGAAACCGAAGAAAACUAUGAAGAAAUGAUGAGAGAGAAAAAAAAAAACUCAUGAAAGCUUACAGGAACUUGGGAUGUAACAUGUCUUUUAAAAUUUACUUUUGGACUCACAUUCAGACUUCUUUCUAGCGAACUGUGGUGCAGUCAGUGACGAACACGGUGAAAGGUUUCACCAAAAUAUUUCAGCCAUGGAAAAGUGGUAUCAGGGUAAAUGAAGAACAGCCACGCUUGCAGACUAUUGCUGGUCAUUGGCAAAAGAUGUUUCUUCAGCCAAAUAUGAGCGUCAAGCAAAAAGUAAGCAGGUAGAUAAGGAAUAAAACAAGACACAUUGUGGAUUGCAAUAAAAUAUUCAAAUAUUA